rnacentral:rRNA from 1 species
UACAGAGGGUGCGAGCGUUAAUCGGAAUUAUUGGGCGUAAAGCGCAUGUAGGUGGUUUGAUAAGUUUGAUGUGAAAGCCCUGGGCUUAACCUGGGAAUUGCGUUGAGUACUGUUGAACUAGAGUCGGUCAGAGGGCGGUGGAAUUUCCGGUGUAGCGGUGAAAUACGUAGAGAUCGGAAGGAACAUCAGUGGCGAAGGCGUCCGCCUGGGACCAGACUGACACUGAGAUGCGAGAGCGUGGGGAGCAAACAGG